CAGUGUCUUCAUACCGUCUCAGAUUAGGUAGAAGAGGGGAACCUCCAUAUGUUCAGGUGAAUGCACAUGGGUUCCCUCUUCAGACAUUCUGUCCAAUGCACAAAGGUCUAGGCCAGGGUAUAAGGCAGCGGAGAAGGCGAUGUUAGGAUGUAGAGUCAGAAGGCAAGGCCCUGCUUUCCCUUCCAUGCAUUAUUGAAACUCACAGAGAGUAGCUUCUGAAAAGGGUUUUCAUGGAUACCAUCUGCUGAGGAAAAUAUCCUUGUAUACUAGUGUCUUGUCAAAACACAAAUUUCAUAACUGCAAUUUGUUUACUUUCAAGAUCACAUGAGAUUUGGCAUUCCUCAAUCAAAAUGUCAAAUUUUUAGUGCUGAAAAUUAUGGACAGAAAGUUAGAGAAAAUACCUCUUUACCCUCCUUCGUGGAUAGCAUUGUGGGGACAGCCACACUCGCAUAACCACUGGCUGGUUGAAUUGUUGCUGCUUAUCAGGAGGUAUGGGAUGCGGGUGGCGCUGUGGUCUAAACCACAGAGACUAGGGCUUGCCAAUUGGAAGGUCAAUGGUUUGAAACCCCCGUGACGGGGUGAGCUCCCGUUGCUCGGUCCCUGCUCCUGCCAACCUAGCAGUUCGAAAGCACAUCAAAGUGCAAGUAAAUAAAUAGGUACCGUUGUGGCGGCAAGGUAAACAGCGUUUCUGUGCGCUGCUUUGGUUUGCCAGAAGCGGCUUAGUCAUGCUGGCCACAUGACCUGGAAGCUGAACACUGGCUCCCUUAGCCAGUAAAGCGAGAUGAGCGCCACAGCCCCAGAGUUGUCCGCGACUGGACCCAACGGUCAGGGGUCCCUUUACCUUUACCUUACCAGGAGGUAUAGGAAAAAGUAGGGGGAGGCCGAUGCAAAUAUGCUGGCAGAGCAAAUCCGUUGCUCCUGUCAGUAUGUUUGUUUUCUCUACCUCUUGUUAAACAGCUGUGACCCAACCAACCAGAGGUCAGGUGAAUGCUGCCACCCACAAUACUGUCUGUUCUUUUCAGGGACAGAGUAGGCAAAUAUCAUACCUAUGCUUAAACAAUCAUACUAAAAAGCACUGAAAUUCAGCAGUGCUAUGGAAACAGUCAACACGAUCAUAGAAACCAUCAGUUUUAAACAUUAUGGUUGGGAUUGGGCUCACUUAGCAUUGGGGAAGGUGAUCUUGGUGACAAUGUUGUACCAAGUGUAGUGUCUCAACUGGCCUUCUUCAGAAGCAGACAGGUGGAGAACUUCAAACAAUGGGAGAUUAUGCAGACAGCGAGUAAGGACGUAAUGAGAGGUGACAUGAUCACAGUGACAAUAAGGGGACAUUAGUGAACAAUGACAUUUUACAUUGAAGAGAAAGGGAAUGACAAGAGGGAAGGUCAUCACAAAAGGAAUUGCAAUCAGCUAUGAGGGAAUGACAGUGAUAUGGCCAAGGUUAUUAGCAGUAGGCACAGAAUGAAAAUGGACACAUUGAAGAUGCUGACACGGAAAUAGCAAGGCUUUUGGAUGGUUGGAUGGGUGAAGUGAAGCAUGGGAAGAAGUUAAAGACUGAAUGUCCAUAUGAAUAGAAUGGUGACUGAAUCUCCAGCAGAAAGCAGCUUCUCUUUAGGAAGACAGAACCAGACAGAAAUAUUUUAAUUGUAAACCACUUUUUGCUGCCCUGAUCCCUUUUUCAUUCCUUUUGUGAAGCAGGACAACCUACAGCCUCCUCUGCCAACUUCUCUUCCUCUCUCCUUUCCGAUGAUAGGGAAAUGCUUUAGGGUUGCUUUAGGGUUGUCAUCAUUCCUAAGAUUGUCCUGCCAUCAAAGCCCUAUCAAUGCAUACUCUUGCAUGUAGGGUUUCCAUUUGUAGCAACAAGGGUGGGGCUGCACUUCAGGGCCUGCCCUGGAAGUUGUAUUUCCACAAUGCCUAAAGCCUGUGAUGAGUGCAGAAGUCGGGGGGGGGGGGAGGAACUCUCUGUGUAAGCAUCUACUUCUGGAUAGUGGCUACAUGCAACUGGGGCACCCAAUUGCAGAGGUGACCCACUCACGUAGGCCAAGAAAUAUGAUCCUGAUCCUGCUGCUACCACGAGUCUCAUAUUCAUGAGUAAAAUGGUGGUAUAGGGGAAAAAAUGAUGCUUAGAGUUUACCUGUACAUAUCCCCAAAUGACCAUUCCCAGAUCUCUCUUCUUUGCAUUUGUUUUCAAUAUACAAUAUUGUGCCCAAUUCUGAUCCUUGUAUUACCAGGGACACGGGUGGCGCUGUGGUCUAAACCUAGGGUUGCCAUAUGUCUGGAAUUUCCUGGACAUAUCCGGAAUACUGCAGCCACAAGCAGUGUCUGGGCCCAUGUCGGCAGUGUUGUUUUUGCUCAUUUUCCUCAGAAAUAGCUCAAAAACAUCCAAUUUCUUUGUGAUUUUGCCAGAAAAGCUCAACAACUUAGUUCAAAAAAGCUGGACAACUUUUCUGUCCUGAUUUUCACUUUUGAAAUAUGGCAACCCUAUCUAAACCACUGCGCCUCUUGGGCUUGCCACUCUGAACGUUGGCGGUUUGAAUCCCCGUGACGGGGUGAGCUUCCAUUGCUCUGUCUCAGCUUCUCCCAACCUUGCAGUCCAAAACCAUGCUAGGAUAAGUAGAUAAAUAGCAGGAAGGUAAACAGUGUUUCUGUGCACUCUGAUACUCGUCACAGUGUCCUGUUGUGCCACAAGCUGUUUAGUCAUGCUGGCCACAUGACCCAGAAAGCUGUCUGUGGACAAAUGCAGGCUCCCUUGGCCUGAAAAGUGAGAUGAGUGCCCCAUAGUCGCCUUUGACUGGACCUAGCCAUCCAGGAGUCCUUUACCUUUGCCUUGUAUUACCAUUUCUCCUUGCAUCCUAGUGACAUUGCCACCUUUCAGGGCCAGCAC